rnacentral:rRNA from 1 species
GAUGAACGCUGGCGGCGUGCCUAAUACAUGCAAGUCGAGCGAACGGACGAGAAGCUUGCUUCUCUGAUGUUAGCGGCGGACGGGUGAGUAACACGUGGAUAACCUACCUAUAAGACUGGGAUAACUUCGGGAAACCGGCGCUAAUACCGGAUAAUAUUUUGAACCGCAUGGUUCAAAAGUGAAAGACGGUCUUGCUGUCACUUAUAGCUGGAUCCGCGCUGCAUUAGCUAGUUGGUAAGUUAACGGCUUACCAAGGCAACUAUGCAUAGCCGACCUGAGAGGGUGAUCGGCCACCCUGGAACUGAGACACGGUCCAGACUCCUACGGGAGGCAGCAGUAGGGAAUCUUCCGCAAUGGGCGAAAGCCUGACGGAGCAACGCCGCGUGAGUGAUGAAGGUCUUCGGAUCGUAAAACUCUGUUAUUAGGGAAGAACAUAUGUGUAAGUAACUGUGCACAUCUUGACGGUACCUAAUCAGAAAGCCACGGCUAACUACGUG